UACGUAGGGUGCGAGCGUUAAUCGGAAUAACUGGGCGUAAAGAGUGCGUAGGCGGGUCAAUAAGUUAGAUGUGAAAUCCCCGAGCUUAACUUGGGAAUAGCAUUUAAGACUGUUGACCUAGAGUCUGUGAGAGGGUGGUAGAAUUCCAAGUGUAGCAGUGAAAUGCGUAGAGAUUUGGAGGAAUACCGAUGGCGAAGGCAGCCACCUGGCAUAAGACUGACGCUGAGGCACGAAAGCGUGGGUAGCAAACAGG
rnacentral:rRNA from 1 species